rnacentral:rRNA from 1 species
GACGAACGCUGGCGGCGUGCUUAACUCAUGCAAGUCGAACGAUGAAGAAGAGCUUGCUCUUCGGAUUAGUGGCGAACGGGUGAGUAACACGUGACUAACCUGCCCCUUUCUCUGGGAUAACGCUCCGAAAGGAGUGCUAAUACCGGAUACUCACAUCGAGGCACAUGCCUUGAUGUGGAAAGUUUUUCGGAAAGGGAUGGAGUCGCGGCCUAUCAGCUUGUUGGUGAGGUAACGGCUCACCAAGGCGACGACGGGUAGCCGGCCUGAGAGGGCGACCGGCCACACUGGGACUGAGACACAGCCCAGACUCCUACGGGAGGCAGCAGUGGGGAAUAUUGCACAAUGGGCGCAAGCCUGAUGCAGCAACGCCGCGUGAGGGAUGACGGCCUUCGGGUUGUAAACCUCUUUUAGUAGGGAAGAAGCGAAAGUGACGGUACCUGCAGAAAAAGCACCGGCUAACUACGUGCCAGCCGCCGCGGUAA